ACCCGAUACAUAGCUUACUGUCCCGAUCGCGUCCUGUCAGCCUGAUUGUAGCCAUACUAGCUUCGAAGUCCCUCGUUUUAUUAUUAUCUCAGUAUAUUAAUAUAAUCAUAUUUCUAUAAUUCUUGUUCAAAAUUAUGUUUAUCCGUUCAGUUAGUGAUUUUUGUAAAUCGAUGAUUGUGUUCAGGGUCUUUUUUUGUUUCUAUUAACGUUCUAACUAGUAAGGUGGCUAGUAAUUAGCCAACGCCUCCCUCCCCUACCAAACAUGGCACUGUUUUACUCAGGGCGCUUGUAAGAGCUGACAAAGAUCACAUGACGGAUGUACAUCGUCUGGCCAAGACAAGUAGCAAAGCACCGAACUCCAAGUUAAAAACAAGGAUUCAAGCUUUGUGUCCAGUUACCUUUUCAACUAUGAAGCUUCGAACAGGACCAACGUGACAUGAGAGGUCAGCAUAAGGGCUUGCUGCUUGCUACAGGUCCAUGAGGAAAAAUGAGAAACCACACAGUUUGAGUGUAGGCUGAAAAGUCAGGUGUUUGUGACACACUAUAUGCAGGUUACACAGUCAGAGAUGAAGCCUAGUCUUAGACUAAGAAGUUCCUGUCAAUGGAGAACUGCAUUAAGAGGCAUUGCUUAGUCUAGGACUAGGCUUAACCCAUGUCUAUGAAACCGUUCUUAGUGCAGUAAUUGUUCAGAUGUUUUCCUUGUUGUUUAUGUGAACUCUGUUAUGUUGGACGCAUUAGAUUACAUUUAAACAAGGACAUAUACCCUUAAUAGAAAAGUUAAAAUUCUUUAUUAGUUGUCCCCCCUUCCUGCCAUGCUACUGUAGCUAGGAAGCAAACGUAGCUAGCUUGCGAUCAUACAAGCUUAAUUGAUAAUAUAUCGUUAUAUUGUUAACCUAUUCGUUUACCAACAGUUCAGUUAAUGUAUAGUGCUUCUACACCUGCAUUGCUUGCUGUUUGGAGUUUUAGGCUGGGUUUCUGUACAGCACUUUGUAACAUCAGCUGAUGUAAGAAGGGCUUUAUAAAUACAUUUGAUUGACAUUGCUGUAAUGAAUUUAGUGGCUGUUGCGCCGGUCAUUUCUGUUUGCUGGUCGUCACACAUGUUGAGUGAUUUUAGUCUAAUCAUUUUCUUUUUAUAUCCCCACGUGGGUUGUACUGAAGCCCUGUGAGCCAGUAACAAUGACAUAACAUCACCACACAGUUCCAUUACUUUUCCAGUCUGCACACUAAGAUGUAACACCAGUCGUCACACCUGUGCACAGCUGCACAGAGGCCGAGCAGCAGUGGCAUAAGCCAAGGACUAUGGGUCUGCAACCUGGGCCCAUAGGCAAAAUGACCAUCACCAAGCCCACCAAAAAGCGCAUGGCAGAAGGACGGAUUAGGUUGUUUCAAGUACAUUGUUUAGAUUGGCUAACCACAGCGGCUGCUUUGCGGAAGUACUCUCUACAGCGCCCUUUUUGGAACGCUCCCUGACCUCUCAGUUCUCCAGAUAGAAGAGGAAAACAAGAACUUUGACCCUCUAUCCAAGCCAUUGAUCUGCAGCAUGGGGAUGUCUGCUGAAAAGCUUUUAGCUGACUCCCACUUUGGAAAGGUAUAGGUGGGGAGCCUCCUGUCUUACCAGCAGCCUCCAAUCACAACGUGACCAUAGUUCACUAUAAGGAGACACCACCAUUCCCUUUACUGCCACUGGGUGGCUACAGACUGGAGAGCUACUUUCAAGGCUGCACUUGUGCUCAAUGAAGAAGACCAGCUUCACAUAGUCUCUUCAGCUAUGUGACAGCCUCAAAAAUGAUACUCCUGUGUAAGGGUCUGCAGGGAAUCACAGCCAGCCGCCAGAGAGAAGCAAAUGUAACCACAGGACAUGUGACAGAGUUGAUGGACACCCUAUGUUCAUCAAUGGACAGAAAGUUCCACAGAAUGGAAUAUAAUCACGUGCUAUCAGAAACCGCUGCACUUGCCCCCAGGUUUAAGAAGUUAGCCUUCAGUGAUGCCAGAGCGAUUGAUGAGGAUCUUCAAAGAUUGACCUCAGCAGCAGGGAGGGACAGCCCCAGCAGUCAGUUCAGCUCAGGCACCAGGGCAACAGGAAGAAGAGGGAGCAGAUGGAACAGAAGCACCAGCAGUAGUGCCACAAACUUCUGCUGUUUGGAUGCGGUUUGACGAGAGAGCAACUGGGGAUGCAGCCCCGAAGGAAUCCCUCAGCAGAUGCCAUAAUGGAGGUCCGAUGCUAUUUGGAGGAGACCCUCCUCCAAAGAUCUGCAGAUCCUCUGAGCUGGUGGGAGAACAAGGCCUCAGUCUACCCACGGCUUACUAAAGUCAUAACAGGGAGACUGCAUAGUGGCCACAUCCGUUCCCUCUGAGAUGGUCUUCUCGAAAACGGGACAGAUAAUUACUGAGAGACGAAACCGCAUCAGCCCCUCAAGUGAGGCAGCUUGCAUUUCUGAUUGCAAAUCUCUCAUAAAAGCAAAAUAUGGUCAGCAUUGCUGUGUGCUGCUGGUUAUAACAUGGCAAUAAAGAAUAGAGCGAAAAGAGGGACCAGUUUAGUGUUUUAAGUAGGAUGCUGCAGUUUUGCCCAUUGUUAUUUAUUUUUCUUUUAUAUGGUGCAAUAUUCUAUUAUUAUGUUCAGAUUGUAUUCUUUUUGAAUUGUUACAUUUAUAUGCACUUUGUUUUAUAUACAUAAAGUUAUACUUUAAAUGCACAUGUGUAAUAGCAUCCUUCUUUUUUACAUUUAUUUCAAUUUGUGGGAUGCUGCAAGUUUUUCAAAUGACUAUUUAUUUUUCUUUGAAAUGGUGCAAUAUUCUAUUAUGUUCAGAUUGUAUUAGUUUUGAAUGGUUAGAUUUAUAUGCACUUUGUUUAUAUACUUUAAAUGCAAAUGUUUAAUAGCAUUCUUUUUCAUAAUAAACCAAUGCAUUUUUAAAUACAUUGUGGUUAAGGUAGAGUAGGAUUUCAUUUAAUAAUUUAAUUAGAAUUGUUUUAACACCAAUCAUAGUCAAACUAUCGCAAACUGUUUGACUUGAAAAAAUACAAAACCUUUUUUUUAAAGAACCGUUUGGGCGCCAAAAGACCCAGCUCUUUUUGGUGAGCUGAGCCGAAGGAGCCGGCCCACUUAAAAGAGCCGGAAUGCCCAUCACUACUGACGAGACGCAAUCGGGACAGGAAGCUAUGUAUCGGGUAGGAAGGUGAGCGGAAGUGGGCGUUGCUAUGUUGUGCAAAAGGUCUAUCUACAAUAUGAAUGUGAACGCAAUCCCCAAAAACUGAUAGCACGUGUAGCCACCCACAACUGGUCAGUGUGAUUGUGAAUGGGUAAAUUUGGGCAUAACAAUUUAAUACUAAAUAAAAAAUGAUUGGUUU